rnacentral:rRNA from 1 species
AGAGUUUGAUCCUGGCUCAGAAUCAACGCUGGCGGCGUGUCUAACACAUGCAAGUCGCACGAGAAAGGGUAGCAAUACCUGAGUACAGUGGCGCACGGGUGAGUAACACGUGAAUAAUCUACCUCCGAGUGGGGAAUAACUUAGGGAAACCUGAGCUAAUACCGCAUAACACUUACGAGUCAAAGCAGCAAUGCGCUUGGAGAGGAGUUCGCGGCAGAUUAGUUAGUUGGCGGGGUAAUGGCCCACCAAGACGAUGAUCUGUAUCCGGCCUGAGAGGGCGCACGGACACACUGGAACUGAAACACGGUCCAGACUCCUACGGGAGGCAGCAGUGGGGAAUUUUGCGCAAUGGGGGAAACCCUGACGCAGCAACGCCGCGUGGAGGAUGAAAUCCCUUGGGAUGUAAACUCCUUUCGAUCGGGACGAUUAUGACGGUACCGGAAGAAGAAGCCCCGGCUAACUUCGUGCCAGCAGCCGCGGUAAUACGAGGGGGGCGAGCGUUGUUCGGAAUUAUUGGGCGUAAAGGGUGCGUAGGCGGUUUGAUAAGUCUGAUGUGAAAUCUAUGGGCUCAACCCAUAGUCUGCAUUAGAAACUGUCGGGCUUGAGUAUGGGAGAGGUGAGUGGAAUUUCCGGUGUAGCGGUGAAAUGCGUAGAUAUCGGAAGGAACACCUGUGGCGAAAGCGGCUCACUGGACCAUUACUGACGCUGAUGCACGAAAGCUAGGGGAGCAAACAGGAUUAGAUACCCUAGUAGUCC